GUCACUGGCUGAACUGCAUCUGGAUCCAAGGGCUUCAUCCUCAGCAACAGUACCGUGGCCCUAGCCCCAUCUCAUUCUCUGCGUCUCUUCUGCCCUGUCUAGCAGUUAUCAAAAGGAGCCACUUGAGAGAGGUUUACAGGAACAUCUGAGCAAUCCCAUGUGGAUAACUGCAAGAACAAAGGAUUACCCUGUCCCCACCGGGGUGUGGCUGACACCCAGAUGUCUGCAACAUCCAGUCACAACCCCUCCCCUUUGGGUGUAAAAAAAGCCUGAAUUCUAACUCAAGAAAGAUGGUUCUUUGGGAUACGAGUUGACCAUCUUCUUGGUCUGCUGGCUUUCUGAAUAAAGUUUCUAUUCCUUUGUC